AUAAGCUACUAAGGGCACGAGGUGAAUGCCUUGGUGCUAGGAGGCGAUGAAGGACGCGGUUACCUGCGAUAAGCCCCGGGGAGACGGAAGCAGUCUUUACUACCCGAGGAUUUCCGAAUGGGGAAACCCAGCUGGGCCUUAAACCCAGUUACUGCCGGUUGAAUGCAUAGGCCGGUUAGAGCAAUACCCGCUGAAGUGAAACAUCUCAGUAAGCGGAGGAAAAGAAAGCGAAUGCGAUUCCGUAAGUAGUGGCGAGCGAAAGCGGAACAGCCCAAAAUCGAGAGGCUUGCCUCUCGGUGGUGUGGGCCUUAUAUGGCAAGAGGAAUGGUAGAUGAAUCAGCUGGAAAGCUGAGCCAAAGAGGGUGAUAGCCCCGUAGACGAAACCUGACCAAAGCCUGAGGAUCCCCCGAGUAACACGGGAUAAGUGGAACCCUGUGUGAAUUGAUGCGCAAACCAUUGCGUAAGGCUAAAUACUACCUAGCAACCGAUAGUGAACAAGUACCGUGAGGGAAAGGUGAAAAGGACCCCGGGAGGGGACGUGAAAAGUACCUGAAACCACGUGCCUACAAGGUGUCGGAGCAAUCUUCGGAUUGUGACGGCGUGCCUUUUGCAUAAUGAGUCUGCGAGUUAUUGUCUGUGGCAAGCCUAAGAGCCUUUGGUUCGAAGGCGAAGCGAAAGCGAGUGUGACAAGCGCGAAUUAGUCGCGGGCGAUAGACCCGAAGCGGAGGUGAUCUAGCCAUGGCCAGGUUGAAGCUGCAGUAACAUGCAGUGGAGGACCGAACCAGUGUACGUUGAAAAGUGCUUGGAUGAGCUGUGGCUGGGAGUGAAAGGCUAAUCAAACCCCGUAAUAGCUGGUUCUCUCCGAAAUAGCUUUAGGGCUAGCGUCAGAUAAAGGAUUCGAGGGGUAGAGCACUGAAUGGCUUAGGGCCCAUACCAGGGUACCAAAACCAAUUAAACUCCGAAUACUCGAACUCCAUGCUGGCAGUCAGUCCGUGGGUGAUAACAUUCACGGGCGAAAGGGAAACAACCCAGAUCGCCGGCUAAGGUGCCUAAACUGGAUUAAGUGGAAAGGAUGUGAAAUUGCACAGACAGUGAGGAUGUUGGCUUAGAAGCAGCCACCAUUUAAACAUAGCGUAACAGCUGACUCAUCGAGCGAUUUUGCGCCGAAAAUGAUUGGCGAUUAAAUCCAGUACCGAAGCCGCGGAUACAUACAUUAGUAUGUGUGGUAGGAGAGCGUCGUCUAUGCGCUGAAGCUAAACUGUAAGGGACAGUGGAGCGUAGACGAGUGAGGAUGCAGACAUGAGUAGCGAUAAAACAGGUGAGAAUCCUGUUCGCCGUAAACCCAAGGUUUCCCAUAGCCACGUUCGUCGGCUUGGGGUUAGCCGGGACCUAAGGUGAGGCCGUAAGGCGUAAUCGAUGGAAAUCAGGUUAAUAUUCCUGAGCCGGCAGGCAACUAGUGUGUGAGUGCGCGGAAAAUGAGAGUGGUUAACCACUAUGUGUUGGGAAAGGCUUAGUCCACGUGGCGAAGUCACCAUUCAAUUGAUCUGCCUAGAAAAGCUCAUGCAUGUGACUAUGCCUGUCGCCCGUACCGUAAACCGCCACAGGUAGGAGGGUGUAAAUGUACUAAGGCGCGCGAGAGAAACCUCUUUAAGGAACUCUGCAAUCUAGCCCCGUAACUUCGGAAGAAGGGGUGCCAUCUUCGGGUGGCCACAGUAAAGGGUGACUGGCGACUGUUUACCAAAAACACAGCUCUCUGCUAAGAUGUUAAGUCUACGUAUAGGGAGUGACACGUGACCAAUGCCGAAAGAUCAAGGCUGUUCUGUUAACGCAGGGCACCUAAGUCCCGGUGAAUGUCGGCCGUAACUAUAACGGUCCUAAGGUAGCGAAAUUCCUUGUCGGGUAAGUUCCGACCUGCACGAAUCGUGUAACGACCGGUCAGCUGUCUCAAAGAGGAUCUCGGCGAAGUUGUAAUGGCGGUGCAGAUGCCGCCAACCCGCGGUAGGACGGAAAGACCCUAUGCACCUUUACUGUAAGCUGGUAUUGGGUUCUGGACUAUGAUGUGUAGUAAUAGGUGGGAGACAUUGAAGUGAGCUCGUCAGGGUUCAUGGAGUCAACAAGUGAAAAACCACCCUUUGUUUUCUAGGAUUCUAACCUCGAUUCCUGUUAGCCAGGCGAGGGACAGUGCUUGCGGGUCAGUUUGACUGGGGCGGUUUCCUCCCAAAGAGUAACGGAGGAGUGCGAAGGUACUCUCAGCAUGGUUUGUAACCAUGCGUUGAGCAUAUAGGUAGAAGAGUGCUUAACUGUAAGACUGACAGGUCGAGCAGGUACGAAAGUAGGCCUAAGUGAUCCGGCAGUAGAAAAUGGAAUUGCUGUCGCUCAUCGGACAAAAGGUACGCUAGGGAUAACAGGCUUAUCGCGCCCAAGAGUUCAUAUCGACGGCGCGGUUUGGCACCUCGAUGUCGGCUCGUCACAUCCUGGGGCUGGAGAAGGUCCCAAGGGUUCGGCUGUUCGCCGAUUAAAGUGGCACGCGAGCUGGGUUCAGAACGUCGUGAGACAGUUCGGUCCUUAUCCACCGUGGGCGUAGGAAACUUGAGGGGUUCACUUCCUAGUACGAGAGGACCGGAAUUGACGCACCUCUGGUGUGGCAGUUGUCGUAGCAUCGGCAGCGCUGCGUAGCUAAGUGCGGAAGAGAUAAGCGCUGAAAGCAUCUAAGCGCCAAGCUCCUCCCAAGACAAGGUUUCCCCACCAGGCUCCUGGAAGACUACCAGGUUGAUAGGCCAGAGGUGUAAGCACAGUAAUGUGUUGAGCUGACUGGUACUAAUGUCCGAUCGGCUUAUCUUA
rnacentral:rRNA from 1 species